rnacentral:rRNA from 1 species
UACGGGGGGGGCAAGCGUUGUUCGGAAUUACUGGGCGUAAAGGGCUCGUAGGUGGCCAACUAAGUCAGACGUGAAAUCCCUCAGCUUAACUGGGGAACUGCGUCUGAUACUGGAUGGCUUGAGUUCGGGAGAGGGAUGCGGAAUUCCAGGUGUAGCGGUGAAAUGCGUAGAGAUGUGGAGGAACACCAGUGGCGAAGGCGACUUUCUGGCCUAUAACUGACGCUGAGGCGCGAAAGCGUGGGGAGCAAACAGG